GGUUCACGCGUCAGCGGGGUCAGGGGGAAGGGCCGUGGCUCUGCCCGGAGUCGCUCGGCGAAGGGAGGAGGAUGCCCCGAUCCCGCGGAGCCGCAUCCUCGCGGUGUCUGCGUGCGGGGAUCAGCUCUCCGGGCGACUCUCUGAAAUGAAAUGCCUCGGCCCAGGAGAGCUGGGGAGGUUCCCUAGGAAUGCGAGAGGCUUCGGGAGUACGAUUUGACAGCGAUGGUUUUCCAAAACUCUGCCAUUUCGGCCUGAGCUCGUUUAAGUAUCUGCACCGGGAAUUCCUUUCUCCCCCGGGGAAUUAGCGCUUAUCAAAGGCAAGGAUUCUCUGAACAUAUGCAGAGCAUAUUUUUCUUGUCGAAGGAACAUUCCUAUGUCUGGAAAUUGCCGCAAUGUGCCGAAGAACCUGAUCUGUGUAGGAAGCAGCCUGAGCACGGGUGGGACCAUUUGGCCGUCUGUGACUGAAACAACACUCGAGUUUAGAAAAGGCUUUUGUUUGGGAAUAGUUGCCUAGUACCUUUCUUAGUUAUUGAGUUGAUUUAUAGCCUGCCUUUCAACCCACGAAUGCACUCAAGGACUUCGUACCUUGGAGCGCCAGCCCUUCCCCUCUGCCCCACUGUGGUCUUUCAAGGAUGGAGACUCCCCUUCAGCGCCGGGCCAGAAUCGAUUUCAGAGGAGCUCUGGGGACAGGAUGGCAUUCCAGUGCUGGGCAGGGCCAAAAGCAAAAGGGCUGGAGGCAGAAUGCUCCAAACCCCAGUGUGCAUGAGGGUGCAAUCCCACACCUGUUUAGAAAGGAAAACAAAGCUCUUACUGCCAACAAUUAAGACAGGCAAUUAUUCAGAUAGAUAAUUCAGAUUUCAAUUUUUUAGAAUAGGGAUGGGAACUCAGUGAUUGAGGGAUGGGAAGAUCUGGUGAGCUGCAUAUGGUUGGACUGGAAACACAGGUGGGCUGUGGCUGGUGUCCCAGUUCUACUGGCAGUCAUGCUUAAGCACAGCUACUACCCAAUAUUUUUGUUACCAGAGAUGUGGGGGAUCAAACUCAUGGAAAGCAUGUGCUCCACAAGUGAACAAUGGGCCUUCCCCUUUAAUGGGGCCUUCCCCUUUAAUACAUUGUCCCCUUCCAGCAGAAAAAGCCAGCUUAAACCCAGCCUGCCCCAUCAGGAUCAAGGCCCUGGUUGCUUUCCACUGGAGCAAGUACCUUUAGGAUUAAACUUUAAGUCAGCAUCUACUGGGGAAGGAAUCUCAGACCAGGAUCACCUUCCAGAGGUGUAGCCAUGUGGAGCAAAGCCUACAGUGUUACUGCUGUCCAGCAAUGGUGUUCAAAAAUAUAUGCCAUGGGAAGAAGGUUUGGCAUAUGAAAUAUUCAUUGUGCAGGAGCUCAGAAUGAAAAUCACAAUGGAAUUGUCUGCCAACCUGCAUCUCAUCACUUGCCAGUGCUGCUUGGUGUGGAAUUCCUCACUGUCUGGAGGUCUGCUCCUGCGUUGGAGACAUUUUUCCACUGAUGGGGAAAAAUUACAAGCCUAGCCAAACUGGAUUGGUUCCAUGGUGUCCUGGUGGUUGUCUGGACUGAACAAAAGCAGCUUUGCCCAGACCUUGAAAUGACUCGGAUGAAGAAUGCUUCUGAAGCAAUUUCUAGUAGGGGUAGCUUCUACCCCUCACUCUUUCACCCCCAGAGGUUUCACCUACAUCGCCCUUUCUCCAGACCCGAAGGGAAAGCAGGAGAUUUAAAACACAAGAGGAAUUCAUCAGGAAGAGUGCAAAACAUCAAGCACAUUUGGAUAUUUUAUUGACUGCUUCUUCCUACCCACCCCGCCGCCCCCAUGUGCCACUAUAGUCCAAAAGUCUGUAUUGGUAUGGGGAUUGCUGUGGUGGUGCAUAAGCAUAGACAAUAAAGCCUCAGGGAUUGUACCCACUGCUUUC